rnacentral:rRNA from 1 species
GGCACUACGGUGCUGAAGCAACAAAUGCCCUGCUUCCAGGAAAAGCCUCUAAGCAUCAGGUAACAUCAAAUCGUACCCCAAACCGACACAGGUGGUCAGGUAGAGAAUACCAAGGCGCUUGAGAGAACUCGGGUGAAGGAACUAGGCAAAAUGGUGCCGUAACUUCGGGAGAAGGCACGCUGAUAUGUAGGUGAAGUCCCUCGCGGAUGGAGCUGAAAUCAGUCGAAGAUACCAGCUGGCUGCAACUGUUUAUUAAAAACACAGCACUGUGCAAACACGAAAGUGGACGUAUACGGUGUGACGCCUGCCCGGUGCCGGAAGGUUAAUUGAUGGGGUCAGCGCAAGCGAAGCUCUUGAUCGAAGCCCCGGUAAACGGCGGCCGUAACUAUAACGGUCCUAAGGUAGCGAAAUUCCUUGUCGGGUAAGUUCCGACCUGCACGAAUGGCGUAAUGAUGGCCAGGCUGUCUCCACCCGAGACUCAGUGAAAUUGAACUCGCUGUGAAGAUGCAGUGUACCCGCGGCAAGACGGAAAGACCCCGUGAACCUUUACUAUAGCUUGACACUGAACAUUGAGCCUUGAUGUGUAGGAUAGGUGGGAGGCUUUGAAGUGUGGACGCCAGUCUGCAUGGAGCCGACCUUGAAAUACCACCCUUUAAUGUUUGAUGUUCUAACGUUGACCCGUAAUCCGGGUUGCGGACAGUGUCUGGUGGGUAGUUUGACUGGGGCGGUCUCCUCCUAAAGAGUAACGGAGGAGCACGAAGGUUGGCUAAUCCUGGUCGGACAUCAGGAGGUUAGUGCAAUGGCAUAAGCCAGCUUGACUGCGAGCGUGACGGCGCGAGCAGGUGCGAAAGCAGGUCAUAGUGAUCCGGUGGUUCUGAAUGGAAGGGCCAUCGCUCAACGGAUAAAAGGUACUCCGGGGAUAACAGGCUGAUACCGCCCAAGAGUUCAUAUCGACGGCGGUGUUUGGCACCUCGAUGUCGGCUCAUCACAUCCUGGGGCUGAAGUAGGUCCCAAGGGUAUGGCUGUUCGCCAUUUAAAGUGGUACGCGAGCUGGGUUUAGAACGUCGUGAGACAGUUCGGUCCCUAUCUGCCGUGGGCGCUGGAGAACUGAGGGGGGCUGCUCCUAGUACGAGAGGACCGGAGUGGACGCAUCACUGGUGUUCGGGUUGUCAUGCCAAUGGCACUGCCCGGUAGCUAAAUGCGGAAGAGAUAAGUGCUGAAAG